UCUCCGUUGGUGAACCAGCGGAGGGAUCAUUACAGAGUUGCAAAACUCCCAAACCAUUGUGAACGUUACCUAUCCCGUUGCUUCGGCGGGCGGCCCGGGCCCCGCGCCCGGCGCCCCCCGGCCCCCCGUGGGCGCCCGCCGGAGGUAAACCAAACCCUUAAAUUUCAUGGCCUCUCUGAGUCUUCUGUACUGAAUCAGUCAAAACUUUCAACAACGGAUCUCUUGGUUCUG
rnacentral:misc_RNA from 1 species